GGAAGUCUAUUCUAUAACCCUGUGCAAUCCUAAAAGGUGCUGCACUCUUCAGGAAAGAGUGAGAGCCUGGGAGGAGUUGGAGUCAGUCUAAGACAAUAACAUAGCUUAGUUGAGUUCCAGGCUUGUUAGGAGCACUUGUAUGCUUGGUGGUCUUCUAGGUUAUUCAACAGGAGCCUGACUCCACUUGCCUGAUUCUCGCCCUCCACCCCUGCCGGCUCCUGAACAGGAUACCUCUUGAGUUCUUCCCUGAACAAACACUCAUAAUGUGGGCAAUAUUUUUAAAGACCAUGAAAAUGUUUGUAAAGCCCUCUUCCCCCCGGUAAUUCAACUCAGCUCUAGAUACCUAAAAGCAUGUCUUUUAGGAUCAACUACGAUGUCAUAUAGCAUUUCAAAAUUCUAAAACAAGAUUGUAGUGAAAAUCAUAUUUUGCUGAUAGAGGCUUUCUUCUUGAUAAACAUCUUUCCUUCAAGACCUUUUGUGGUGCUGCAGAGGUGAACACAUAAACUGUGAUGUUCACUUUUGUGGUCUAGUGGCCACUUAGUAAUAUGUAUGAUGUGUGGUGAAGUGGGUUUUUUCCAUGAAAGCUUCUGCUACAAUGCAUUUGUUAGUCUUGAAGGUGCCAUGGGACUCCUUGUGUUUACUGCAAAAGAUUAGCAUGCAGCUAUCCUGCAUUUUUUCUCCAGAUGGCACAGGCUGGGGGCUACAUAUCUUUUGGAGAUGGAUCCCAUUGGAGCAAACCACAAUACACAUAGCAGCAUGGCCAAUUCCAAUGGGAAGAUAAGAGCUUGAAACCCAGUAGAUAUAAAUAAUAAACACCUGGUAGAUGAAUAUUCUAGCUUUCAAAUUAAGUUUCUCAGUGCCUCUUUUGGUACACAGGGGUUCUAAAUCAUCCUUCUAUAUGCCACAAUAACUUCAUGUUCCAGUUUAGAAUGCUUGGGCUGCAUAAAUGUCACACAUUUAAAGCACAUGACUUUCCCCAAAGAAUCCUGGGAAUUGCAUUUUUAAGGGUUCUGGGAAUUGUAGGCCUGUGAGGAAUAAAGUUCAGUUCCCAGGAUACUUUGGGGAAGAAGUUUAUGCAGCCGCCUUCUCCUUUCUCCUCCCAAUAAAUGUAUGAUUCUUAGAAAAGGAAACUGUGAUAAGGCCUUGAAACAUAAUGAACUCACUUGUUUUAUUUCAUGUAGUUUAUAUCCCACCUGCCCUGUCUCCCACUCAUAGACUCAGUUCUUGACCUCAGCUGGAUUAUUAUUGAAGGCCCAACAUAUAUUGUGUUAUAAAUUGCACAGUUCAGAAGUUACAACAGAGUUUAGGAUACAUUGAUAGGCAUAAAUUAUAACAUUGUCACGACCCCUGACAUGCCCCCUGAACUCCUCUUUUGAAGGGUGUGUGUGGGCACAGUCAUUCACUUGGUUGUCUUCCUGAGCCACUGGGCAAGCAAGUACUCACUCCUAUGAAUAAACUGGGUCUGCUGGUGCCAUUGUUGCAUCCUUGUCCUGCUCACUAUUUGCUCUAGCCUCAAGGGUGAGGUGUGCUUUACUGUCAUAAUGUGCUACUGGAGUCAACUCAAGCAGCUCUGAUGCUUGGUCAGGGCGUCAAACGCCUCUAAGGCAGGGCUGUCCCCAUGACAACCUACUUAUCUGCCUCCACAGUAUCUAGAUCACGGCCUCCCAGACCACUGGGUGCCUCCUCAGGAUCCAAUCCUGCACCCUUGUCUCCUUCCUCCUCUGACCAGCCCUGUCAAGACAUCUCCACAGGGUUCAUAAACAUCCCUUUUUGUCCAGGAUGCCAGUGUGCAUAAACUGCACUAAAUCCAAGUGAUGUGGCGAUCAAAAAAUAUGAGGCUUAGCAUGGCCAGGAAAAUUAUUUCACCCCACUUCUGUGUAUAAAUGGAUACAUCCUAUUGCUGAAAUGCUAAACUUGGUUAUCUGUCCUCAUGUCAUUAGAAUUGCAUAGGCAAGAGAUCUGGGUCCACCUCUUUCUUUGCAUCCCAGUCCCACCACUCUCCAUGGGUUCAGGGGUGGGGGUAUGGUAUAGAGCAGGGAACCUGCCCUGCAUGUGUGCUAGGCAAUAAGAACAUAGCAGGGAGAUGGAGCCCUUUCCCCCUUAUUCAAUACUAAUCCUUUGAGGAUUGAACACUCCAAUAGGGUGAGUACCCACACAUCCCAUCCUUUUCUACAUAUGUCAGAGGCAAGCCUUCCAGAAUAGCUUUCUGCCAGGAGCCAUUUUAUUUUCAGUGUCUGGUAUUUCUGAACUACACAACAACAGAGUGUUCCCAGUCAACAGAGGGUAGCAGUGAUGGCUUUUAACAUACACCAUUAGAACUGCAUGGUGGCAGCUUUGGGAGAUGUUAGCUGUUGGAAAAAGUCAAGGAGGAGAGUUGCUGGCUGUUGUGAUUGAGAGCAUGCCAGAGAUAGUCUGACUUAACUGUUUUGUCCUCUGAAGCAGCCAAUUCCCCUCUAUUGCUAGAUAUUUUCCCUCACCAGUUUUUGUCUGACUCAUCAGGCAUAAUAAUAAGCUGCAUGAAAUGCUUCACUUUAUCUCCCCCCUCUUUUUUCUUCUUUUUGAUGGAAAAGAGCAGUUCAGAAUUCAGAAAAAAAACUGUUACUGGAGUCCGUGAGGGCAUCUUUUUCAUGAUGGCUUGAGACUCCCUACUGAUUAGAAUAACCCUCUAGUCAGCUGUGUCAUCUGUGGCGCUAAUUUAAAGGCCAUAGUAAUGUCACCAAACAGCUGAACAGCGGCUGAAAGGGGAAUCUCUUUAAAGCAGAUUUUUAUCUGCACUUUAUUAAAUUUUUCACAGAUAUUUACAUCCUGCCAAAUAAACAAGCAAAGCCAUGAAGUGAUAUGUCGAAAACAUUUGAAAGCCUCAGACCCCCCCCCUUUAAAUAUCUCUCCAUGGGCACUGAGCCCAAAGCCAAUCUCCCAUCUCUGUAGAGAAGAUUUGCUUUAGCCUGCACGUUUUUCCCAUUUCCAAAACCAGACUUUUGUAGUGCUUUGAAGUUUUAUAGUGAUAAUAUUUAACACAUUGCUCCAAGCCAGAGUAAAUAAAAUAUCUUAAAAUAACCACAGCACUUGCAACGUAUCUAUUUGAAAUUAACUUUUAAGAAUCCAGAAGGAUAGUGCCGAUUAUAUUACUUUUAAUUAAAUAUUCCUUUUUUAUAGAUGUAUAAAAGCUGCCUCAUCCUAGUGUGGAGUAGGAGCUAAAAAAUAUUGGAGUGGGCAUUUUGCAUGCUAUGGCGAUAACAGGCAAACGUGGUUCUGAUGUGGUGGGUUUCCUCACGUCUCUGUUGUAGCAUUAACUUCUCUUGCCAUGUGGGGACUAAAGUCGCAGGUUCAACAUCAUCAUCUCCAAGAACAUUGGCGUCAAUGUAUGCUAACUCAGUGUCCUGUCAUUUUUCUGUGACCUGAUUUUCAGAAAUGGUGUUUGUUUCAGGAUAUUAAAUGCACUCUUGGCUGCUGGUUUUAGGGGGCUCUUUGCCAAGAUACUUUCCAUUGCCUUUCCUCCCUCAGUGAAUCUACUGCCUCGCUGAAGCAGGUUCAAGGGUUCUUGUCAGUGGGCCCCAUGGUGGAGAGAUUCCUGACCAUGCAAACCUUUGACUGAUUAAAUUGCUCUUGAAUCCUAUAUGUAGGAUUGUUUUUGGGGAAAAAAUACAUAUGUCUUUCAUUCCCUUAUAUAAGCAUUCAUAGGAUACUUCCAAAAGUAGUCUUGUAAGUACCAAUUGAAUGCCUACUAAUUGGCAGUAUCAAUUCUUGCUGUUUUCCCAGCUGUCUUUGAGCAUAAGAAAUAGGAAUAUCCAGCAUUCUGUAGUAUGCAUUAUAAGAAUAUUGUCAGUUGCCAUUUAACUAAAUUAGAUCUUUCUAGCUCUUCAAAAUAUUUUUUAUCCUUUUGAGAGAAAAAAACAAACAAGACUACAACUGUAUACUCGUUCACUGGAUCUCUGCUUUGCAACUACCUCAGUUUAUUUCUUUUAAAAAGAUCUUGAUUUUUAAAAAUUGCUUACUGAGUUGGAUCCAGAUAUGCUGCUCCACAAAUAGAAGAGCUUUUUCUCUUCAUGGAAAGGACUCCAGAGGAGGCUCCUGGUGGAGGAAAGAGAGGCAGUUUUUGCCUAUUUCUACCUGGAGCCCUCAGCAACACCUCAUGAGCAGCUUCUUAGGGGAUUUCAAAGAGCAUUGUUUUUUUUGGGGGGGGGGGAAUUAAUCAGCAGAAAUGAUCUCCCCCCACUUCCUCCAUGGAACAUCCCAGGAGUAGAACCUCUCUCAGAAAACCUGGAUCCAAACCUUUAGUUUAGACUUGGAUUAGGCCAAGAGCCCAUCUAGUCCAACACACUGUUAUCCCAGUUGCCUACCAGAUGCCCUUGGGAAACCUGCAAGUGAAACCAGAAAAAUAUAGUACUUUCCCGACCUUUCCUGACCUUUCCCCCAGAAACAGGUAUUCAGCAGCCUAUUGCCAUCAACAUUGGAGGUAGAACUUAGCCAUACUUAAAACACUGUUCAAUAAAUUCUCUUAUGAUUCUCAGAAUUCUUAGUUGAACUAACCGUCUAAUAUUUUAUUUGGGAACAGCCAUGGUUAUUUUAGUGAUUUAACUCUCUCCACUCCUGUUGGUAGCAGCUACAUUGUGCAACAAUUUCUGUUCUUUGAAGAAUUAUCACUUAUUUGUGUUCAGCAGGUUGGGUGCACUUCUCUGCUAUUCUGUUUAUCUUGGUAGCUUUUGAAAACAGUGGAAAUUAUUCUGUAAAGGAGGUUGGUUUGUGUUCUUUGUUCAGCACCCAGCAUGACCUGUCUUUUUGCCUCUAGCUGGUGAUGUGACCGCCCACCCACCCCUUUACAAGCCAGAAGUUACUGUGUUUUGCUGUUUAAUUCCAUGCAAAAAUUUCCACCUUAUGCAAGUUUGCGAUGUGUCACGUAUUUAUAUGCUUGUUUGGCCAACAAAUACUUUAUUUGUUUCGCAUUACUCAUUGCCAGUGGCAUAAUCGUUGUAAGCACUUAAAUGUUGUUAAUGUAACAGGUUUGGCCUGAUUGUUAUAGUUCUUAGGAGAAAAACCGUAUAAAGUUUUUAACUUUGGACUUCUUUGUGGGCUUGACCAGUUUUGACACAAGUGAAGGGCACCAUACACCACCUGGCCUGAUGCUGGAGUCUCCCUUUUCACUUCAGUGAUACAGUAACACAUCCCAUCACAGUAAAAAGGGCGAUCCUGUGUCAUUCAGGCAAGGUCGCUUACUAGUCUCCCAUGUCUGGAGCUGCCCAGGGGAACAAAGGAAGCAAUGUUCCUUAUCUGGAACUGUUACUUACCGCAAAGCAAAUACCCUACUAUGGAAGCACAUACCCUUCUGCCUCCUAUAGAUGCUGCCUCUUACCCUGGCUCAUUUCAUAUUGAUACAUUUUUGAAGCAGUCAUGUCAAGUGCACCAUCUUCACCUCUCUGGACAUGUACAUUUCAUAGAGCGUUAGGGAACACCAUAUAAGUUUCAGAGGUAAUGGUCUGAACAUUUGUGACCCAGAAUUUGUGACUGUUUACGAUCAUUGGAAGAACAAUGCUUACAGAUAAGCAAUCUUUCUUUCUUACAUUUUGGAUGGAAUCCCUGACUGUGUGUUUCCCUGUUUUUCUGCAGUUACACCAGACGUGCACAUAUUAGAUUUUAAGGUAAUUGUAGCGAUUGGAAUCGCUAAAGACUCUCAAAGAGAUUAAAGGACCAAUAAAGUCAUUAAACUGAAAGGAGGGAGGGAUCUCACAGAAUAUAACCCUGGAAAGCAUGGCGUGCUUUCAUCUGAUACAUUAAACAUGGAAAUGUAUCUGAGAGAGAACAACUAAAAAUGCCCAAGUAGGCAAAUCACAAUCAGUUCUGUCGUGUUAUAAAUUACAAAUGGAUUUUCUGCAUCACCUUUUAUUUCAUUUGCACAGUUUUUAAAAGAAGGAUAUUUCCUUUGAUCUGAGAUAUUACAUUUCACAGUGUGGGGUGCUUUCAUUUUCCUCCAUUUUGGAAAGAUUGGCACUGGCAGCAUUGCAAGUGCAAAAAUCCUUUCUUGUACCUCUUGCUUGUGCCAAGAGGAAGUCCAAGGUGGUUGUACAUCCUGUAUCUUAGAUAUUUGUACACUAUGUUGCUAGGAUAAAAACGGGUUUAGAAAUGUAUGCAUGGUGCUCAAGAAGGACAGAACUUUUUUUAUGUAUGCCACAACAGCAGCAAGAAUACUCAUUGCAAAGUAUUGGAAGACACAGGAUCUACCCACUCUGGAAGAAUGGCAGAUGAAGGUGAUGAACUAUAUGGAACUGGCGGAAAUGACUGGCAGAAUCCGAGACCAGGGCGAAGAGUCGGUGGAAGAAGAUUGGAAGAAAUUUAAGGACUAUCUACAGAAAUAUUGUAAAAUUAAUGAAUGUUAGAAUGAUGUUGGAUAGAAAUUAAGUGGUUUUCAGCUGUAAUACUAUAAGGGAAUAUGAAAAAUGGAUUAUUAAUAGGUAAAAAUUUAAUGUUACAAUAUUUUAAGAUUAAAGACUAGGAUAAACAAAGAGGGUAAGGAUUUGCUGAACCAACAAACAGAACUGGAAUACAAAAAAGGGAGGCGUGAGGAGGUCCGGGAAAUAAGCUAAUGAAAAAUAAGUAAUGGAAAGAUUGAGUUGUUUUUAGCCAUUUUUAUUUUGUACUUUUUUCUUUUUUUGUUUUUGUUUUGUAACAUUUUGAAAAUCUUAAUAAAUAUCUUAUAAAAAAAAAGAAAUGUAUGCAUUUAGAUAAACUAUGUUAAGCAAUAAGUAUUUUGUAAGAAAAUACAUUUAAAAAAUGCAUAUUUAAAGAUACAGACAUACCUCGGAGAUAUUGUGGGUUCAGUUCCACUGAACAGAGCACCACAAUAAAGUGAAUAUCGCAAUAAAGUACAGCACACUUUUUCUUUUCGUUUGUUUCCCAAUGCAGAAGAUGUGUGUUCCAUUUGCGGAAAGCCACUGUGGAUGGAGACUGAGUUUUUGUGUGUGCUUGUUUGUUUUUUGUAUUUGGAAUUUUUACUGAAAGCUGUUUUGAGGGCUCUGUUGGAAAAGCACGAUAUGCAUUCCUAAGUAAAAAAAAAAAUUAAGCCUCUCAUGCUUGUCAGUAUUUUGAAAACUCUCUAUGCUGUGUUACUGCUUACAUUUUGAUGUUUAGAUCAUACAGGGUUCAGUGGAGUUUCAGCCACCUAAUUUUUCAGAUUCGAUGUACAGGAUCUGCAGUGUUGCAGUAAACAUGUGAACUGCUUUAAAGCUUUUAACACUCUUUUUUGUAUAAACAACUUGAUAUAGAUGUUUAAAAGGAAUCCCUGUGAAGCGUUUUGGCGGGAAAUGCUAUCUUGAUCACACUAAGCACAUUCUAGUCUUUCUUCCUCAUUUAGUUUUGAAUGCUCCAGGGGGAAUGAUUUUCAUGAGAAAUUUGUGUUGGUAAUCGCAAACAGACAUAAUUCUGUAAUUUUCUCAUGAAGUAUUGGCUAAAGUUUUGGCUUUAAUGACCUGACACUUUUCCAAAGAGGAACACAUUUUUGUUUAAACUCCAAGAAAAACAGUACAUACAGCACUGGAGGUUUUUUUUUAAAAAAAUAUUGCUCAACAUUUUAGAGCUAUUUUCAAUAAACAGAGCAUAUAACCUAUCAAUUUGUAAAAGUAUAAUGAGAAUUCAAGCCUGUUCAACCAUUUCAUUAAUGUUCUGGUGGAGGCUGGGUUGCUUUCAUCAGUUGCUCUAAGAUUAUAUUUGAGUAUAAAAUUGCCUUAUGGAAAUAGCUGAGAUUCUUGUACAAGUAAAAAUGUGAAACUAGUUCCAUCAGGGCCCUUGCAUGCCUGGGCAUGAAUUCUGAAAAUAAUGCAACAACUUUCUCAGAUGAGCAGGUUCAUAUAUGGUCCCCUUUUGGCAGUACAGUCAUUCCUCGUGUUGUGUCCACUUCAUGUUGCGUCUUUUUGUGUUACGUCCCGCAACAACCCAGAAGUACUGGAAUGGGUUACUUCUGGGUUUCGCCGCUUGCACAUGCACAGAAGCACCAAAUUGCACCGCGCACCUGCACAGACACAGUGCUUCGAGUUGCGGGCAUUUCACAUUACAGACGGGCCUCUGGAAUGGAUCCCGUCCGUAACACAAGGUACCCCUGUAGCUAUUAAAUGGUUAUUCUCUCAAAAAGAAACAGAAUUUGUCUGAGUUUCCGUAUGUAUGUAUGUAACAGCUUAUGUGUAUUGGGAAUACUGAAUUGAUAUAGUAAUUUGUGAAUACAUAUGCUUUACAUUCUGAAGGAUACAGGUACAAUAUUUAACAUCUCCAGGUAAGGCUGGAAAAGGCUUUUGUCUGAAACCCUAGAGAGGUGGUGCCACUUGGGGCAUAUGAUACUGGGUUAUAUGUCCACAAUGGCCCGUCUCUUUUUUAUCUUUAUUUGAAUUGUCUUUCCUUCCAGUGAUCUAGUGUGUGUGUGUGUGUGUGUGUGUGAGAGAGAGAGAGAGAGAGAGAGAGAGAGAGAUGGAGGUGAUAUUACUGUGGAAUACCAUGGGGUCAGUUAUUCCUUGUAACAGUUUUGAGACGCCUGCAGUUUUUAAUAACUCCUUUUCUUUCAAAUGCAUGCUGUUAGUUUUCUUUGAAAAGAUUCAGCUGGGAACAAAUGCUAGAAUCACAUCCUGUUUCUAUUUCAGUGAAUUAUUUUUCAACUUUGAAGGCCCACACUAGAUAUUUUUUUUAAAAAGAUGUGUUUGAAGAGAGAAGGAAGGACACUGUUUGAUGUUCAGUGAUAUUGUGAAGUCUCUUUGCAGUGUUUAUCACUUGCCAGUAAAUGCGUAAACAUAAUUAUUGUGAUUUUUAGACUUUCUUAUCAGGCUUUAGGGGCCUCUGGAUUUUCAUUUGACCUUGCUUUAAGUAGUUGUCUUUUUCCUCCUUUAAGGAUUUAUCUUCACUUUCUUAAAAGACAGUAAUCCUUUUACCGAUUCCUGGCUGUUAUGGAAGAAAGACAAAGAUACAACAAGUAUAUGCCCUUUUCCUUUCAACAGCAGCCAUCAAGAACUUGCGAUUAGCUUAGAAUGCAUAAUAUUUGACCUAAGCUGUGAGAGGAUGUCAUUACUUGAUGGGAGAUUCAGGACAGAUAGCAGGAAACAUUUCUUCAUAGAGUGCCUCGUUAACCUAUGGAAUUUGCAGUCACAUUCAGCACUGAUUGCCACUAGCUUAGAGAACUAAAAAUUGGAAAUUCAUGGAGGGUGGCAGCUAAAUGCUACCUCCAGGAUCAGGAGAAUGAGAGACGGUAGAGGGCGCUAUUGUCUUCCUGUUCUGCUUGUUUCCACCCCACAAGACAUCUGCUUGAGGUAACCACUUGGGGAAAGAGGAUGCUGUCCUAGAUAGGCAGGGCUUGGCCUAUCACUCAACAUCCAAAAAACCAAAGUGCUGCACCAACAAGUACAAAAAAACCCCCUCUGCAGCGCCACAAAUCAAACUCAAUGGUGUAACCUUGGAAAAUGUUGAUCACUUCUCCUACCUAGGCAGUUAUCUUUCCACAAGGGCCAACAUUGAUGCCGAAAUCCAGCAUUGCCUGAGCUCUGCGAGUGCAGCUUUCUCCCAAUUGAAGUGCAGAGUGUUUGAGGACCGGGACAUUCGCAGGGAAACCAAAAUGCUUGUUUACAAAGCUAUUGUACUACCAGCCUUACUAUAUGCUUGUGAAACACGGACCACUUAUAAACGCCAUCUCCAACUCCUCGAAAGAGUCCAUCAAUGAUGUCUCCAAAAAAUUUUACACAUCACUUGGGAAGACAGGCAAACUAAUAUCAGUGUACUGGAAGAAGCAAAGAUCACCAGUGUUGAAGCAAAGAUUCUUCAACAUCAGCUUCAUUGGACUGGUCAUGUUGUGCGGAUGCCCGAUGAUUGUCUUCCAAAGCAACUACUCUAUUCCGAACUUAAAAAUGGAAAGCGUAAUGCUGGUGGCCAACAAAAGAGGUUUAAAGACUGUCUCAAGGCAAAUCUAAAAAAAUGUAAUAUAAACACCGACAACUGGGAAACACUGGCCUGCGAGCGCUCCAGUUGGAGAACAGCCUUUACCAAAGGUGUCAUGGGCUUUGAAGACACUCGAACUCAGGACACAAGGGAGAAACGUGCUAGGAGGAAGGCAUGCUUUGCAAAUCCACACCGUGAUCAACUCCCGCCCGGAAACCAAUCUCCCCACUGUGGAAGGACGUUUGGAUCCAGAAUUGGCCUCCAGAGUCAUGGACUCACUGUUAAAACCGUGUUUAUGGAAGACAAUCUUACUCAGCUACGAGUGAUCAC